rnacentral:rRNA from 1 species
UGGGGAAUUUUGGACAAUGGGCGAAAGCCUGAUCCAGCAAUGCCGCGUGUGUGAAGAAGGCCUUCGGGUUGUAAAGCACUUUUGUCCGGAAAGAAAUCCUUGGCUCUAAUACAGUCGGGGGAUGACGGUACCGGAAGAAUAAGCACCGGCUAACUACGUGCCAGCAGCCGCGGUAAUACGUAGGGUGCAAGCGUUAAUCGGAAUUACUGGGCGUAAAGCGUGCGCAGGCGGUUUGCUAAGACCGAUGUGAAAUCCCCGGGCUCAACCUGGGAACUGCAUUGGUGACUGGCAGGCUAGAGUAUGGCAGAGGGGGGUAGAAUUCCACGUGUAGCAGUGAAAUGCGUAGAGAUGUGGAGGAAUACCGAUGGCGAAGGCAGCCCCCUGGGCCAAUACUGACGCUCAUGCACGAAAGCGUGGGGAGCAAACAGGAUUAGAUACCCUGGUAGUCCACGCCCUAAACGAUGUCAACUAGUUGUUGGGGAUUCAUUUCCUAGUAACGUAGCUAACGCGUGAAGUUGAUCGCCUGGGGAGUACGGUCGCAAGAUUAAAACUUAAAUGAAUUGACGGGGUCAUAGCUGUUUCCU